GACUUGACGGAAGCUUGCUUCCGUUCAAGUUAGCGGCGGACGGGUGAGUAACACGUGGGUAACCUGCCUGUAAGACUGGGAUAACUCCGGGAAACCGGGGCUAAUACCGGAUAUUCUUUUUCUUCGCAUGAAGAAGAAUGGAAAGGCGGCUUUUAGCUGUCACUUACAGAUGGACCCGCGGCGCAUUAGCUAGUUGGUGAGGUAACGGCUCACCAAGGCAACGAUGCGUAGCCGACCUGAGAGGGUGAUCGGCCACACUGGGACUGAGACACGGCCCAG
rnacentral:rRNA from 1 species